AUUGAACGCUAGCGGCAUGCUUUACACAUGCAAGUCGAACGGUAACAGGCCGCAAGGUGCUGACGAGUGGCGAACGGGUGAGUAAUGCAUCGGAACGUGCCCAGUCGUGGGGGAUAACGCAGCGAAAGCUGCGCUAAUACCGCAUACGAUCUAUGGAUGAAAGCGGGGGACCGGAAGGCCUCGCGCGAUUGGAGCGGCCCAUGUCAGAUUAGGUAGUUGGUGGGGUAAAGGCUCACCAAGCCAACGAUCUGUAGCUGGUCUGAGAGGACGACCAGCCACACUGGGACUGAGACACGGCCCAGACUCCUACGGGAGGCGGCAGUGGGGAAUUUUGGACAAUGGGCGCAAGCCUGAUCCAGCAAUGCCGCGUGCAGGAAGAAGGCCUUCGGGUUGUAAACUGCUUUUGUACGGAACGAAACGGUCCUGGUUAAUACCUGGGGCUAAUGACGGUACCGUAAGAAUAAGCACCGGCUAACUACGUGCCAGCAGCCGCUGUAAUAC
rnacentral:rRNA from 1 species